rnacentral:rRNA from 1 species
UACGUAGGGGGCAAGCGUUGUCCGGAAUCAUUGGGCGUAAAGCGCGCGUAGGCGGCCCGAUAAGUCUGCUGUGAAAGUCCAGGGCUCAACCCUGGAAUGCCGGUGGAUACUGUCGGGCUAGAGUUCGGAAGAGGCAAGUGGAAUUCCUGGUGUAGCGGUGGAAUGCGCAGAUAUCAGGAGGAACACCGAAGGCGAAGGCAGUGUCCUGGCGCGUAACUGACGCUGAGGUGCGAAAGCCAGGGGAGCGAACGGG